AUCUCUCUCUCUCUCUCUCUCUCUCUCUCUCUAUACUUAAGUCUUAACCUUCAUCUAACGCAAAACGUCCCCCUCUUCCCCAAAUGCCUAUGAAGCAUAACGGCUAUUUCUCUCUCUUAUCUCCGCCGCCUGUGCUUUCUCUCUGGUUGUAUUUGAAAUUCAGAUUCUAUCUCCCGUUUCAUAUCCUCGAUCUGGCGUGAUCCUCGUUGUUGUCGUCUCAGAUCGUUUUCGUUCUGGCAAUGCGUAGUUUCGUACACGCCGCGGCCAUGCAUUGCGUUGGUAAUUUGCACCUUUCAGUUCUUCUGUAUUGAACGCUCUUUGAUCGAUCUCGCUAUUCUCCUUUUGGUUCUCGACAAAACUCGGGAAAGAUGAAAACCUAGUAAUGAAUGCGUUCCUUUUUCUUUUAUUUUAUGUUCGUCUCGAUCGUCUUAGGUCUAGUCUAGUAACGCGCAUUCCUCGCUAUUCUUUGCCCGGAUUUUAGAUCAACGGGAGAAGGAAGGUGGACAUUGAUCAGAUGUGGAUAUUCUUCCUUUUAUCAGGCACCUAUUAUUGCAAUGUAGAACAUAUGACGACAGAACUGCUUUUGUCUGAUGACUAUGAAGUUAAUGAUAAAUAAGAAGUUUUGUAGCUCUUGCUGGUGUUUCAUAGUUUUGUUGUUGUGGCUGGCGAAGCUGAAGAUGGACUGGUACAUGCAAGUCCUCUCCAAAGCUUAAACUGCUUGUGAGAAGAGAAUUUCUAUUUCCUCCAUUUAUCUCCCUUGUUCCAUAGACCUGGGGCAAUGUGCAAAACGCUUGCUCUAAGUGUAAAAAUUCAACGCUUUUUGCUUCUUAAGAUAAGUUCGAGGAUGGACAGUGAGUACUCUAUAUUACACUUAAGCUUCUGUUAGUUGUCUAUCUGAAUACCUUCCUACAUAACUCAUUUUUUUUGUGACGAAGUAGGUUUACCUUCUUACACAGCUCCACAUUUUCAUGGUGAAUGAGGUUUCCCUACAACAAAUUCCAUCAAAUUAAGCUAGUAAAGGUGAAAUUGUACGAGAAUAAAGCACUUUUAGUGGCCAAGUUAUUAGAAUAGACCUUUCGGUUAAGUUCUUGAAUUUCAUCAAUCAGCAUUUGGUCCUACAAAAUUAAAAGUGUUAGGGUAAUCCAGCUGUGGAUGUAUGUAACAGAUCAUCAGAUAACUAUUUGCAUAGGGUAUGGAAGUUUCAGACCUUUCUUGAACGAACACCUUUAAGACUCAUUUCCAGUUGGUUUUCCAAAUUCUGUAAUUCUUUGACAUUUAAACCAGAUAGCUCUUCUCCCAUCAGUUGCCUGUAACAGUCAAGAGCAAAUAUAGUAUGAAUUUGCAUACCCUACCAUUGUUUAUUAUCCACAAUAGAGGCACAUCUGUGAGAUAAAAGUGGCUGCUUAUUAUUUCAAGUUUUAGUAGGUUAAAUCUUCAAUGCCUGUAAGAAGUUUGGCUCUAUCUUUAGGUCAAAAUCUUGUCUACUUAAGGAUGAUUUCUACAUAUUAAGGUUCUGCAGUUGUUGCCUUAUCAUUGCUGCCUCCCUUUGCCAGAACUAUCAAGUGCAAAAGGUGGAUUCAAUGUUAACCUCAGAUGCUCAAUCAACAUGUCUAGGACUCUAGAUUGAUUUGAUGAGCUGUUCUCUAGGUUGAAACAGGUUAUGGCAUACACUAUGGCCAUGAGGGAACAAAGUCAACGGUUGUUUUGCUGCAAGUUUAGAAUUUUGUAAAUCCUGAGGAUAGGAAGCCAAGGUCGAGAAAGGAGGUAUGGAUGCUUGGGGUGGUUUUCUACAAUCUAGUUAUGUGGUCAAAAGUUGUAAGGCAGAAGGGGGUUUGUGCAACCUUAGUACUUGGCAAUAGGUGGAAGGUGUCAUCGCUUGAAACACAUAGCAGUUUGUUAUGGAGUCCUUAUGCCGACAUACAUCUAUCUAAAGUUCUUGUGAACCAGUAUACUACAUUGCCGACUUCCUAACCCUCUAUAAGAAAAAUCAGUUUGGGAAUUGGAAUCGCUAGCCAAUUUUGGCUGAUUUGGACGAUUUUACCCCUGGAUAGCUGGGCUUGUGUAUUGUCGCUGCUGUCCAGAAUUGUAAUUUGACUCUUACCCACGUGGUGCGAUCUUCGCGCUUGGCGACCAACAUACAGGCGCCUCACUCACAAGUGUUGUACGUCAUCUCACCACCACGCAAAGCACACCCACCCUCUCUCUACUGAACUGUCUCAAAACACACACUCUCUCUCUCUCUCUCUCUCUCUCCACCAGAUAUGGAUACCCUCAUCCUUGCCACCAUCUGAUCCGUUCGUCGUAACUGCGAGGCCUAGGGUUUUGAUUUCCAAACGGGAUCCAAAGGACCGGCUUCUGGAACCAUUCCUAGGUCUAGCCUAUUCGACGUUGACACUCUCUCUAGACCUCUCCUUCAACCGCCUACUUGAGUCCAGGCCUUGUGAUUCAGACCAGAAUGAUAUGAUCGAGUGAGCAAUGAGGUUGGGAUGUGCUCCUCAAAAAGCCGGCAAGAGAUCUGCCAAAAAGCGUGCCACAAUGCACAAUGCCGUCGUUUGGGCCCUGCCUCCUGAUCUCGCUACCAAAGUUGGUUAAUUGUUCGGUUGGAGUACACAAAACUCUUUGGCGGUUUAUUUGGAACGCUGGAUAUGGAGUCUACUAUUGUGAUCAA